rnacentral:rRNA from 1 species
GACGGAAGGUGCAAGCGUUGCUCGGAAUCACUGGGCGUAAAGGGUGCGUAGGCGGCCGUGUAAGUCUGGCGUGAAAGCCCCGGGCUCAGCCCGGGAAGUGCGCUCGAAACUGCGCGGCUCGAGUGCCGGAGGGGAGAGUGGAAUUCCUGGUGUAGCGGUGAAAUGCGUAGAUAUCAGGAGGAACACCAGCGGCGAAGGCGGCGCUCUGGGCCGGAACUGACGCUGAGGAGCGAAAGCGUGGGUAGCAAACAGG